rnacentral:rRNA from 1 species
AUUGAACGCUGGCGGCAGGCCUAACACAUGCAAGUCGAGCGGAGCGGCGGACGGGGGAGUAAUGCCUAGGACUCGGCCUGGUAGUGGGGGAUAACGUUCGGAAACGGGAGCUAAUACCGCAUAAUAUCAGAUACGCCUAGGUCGGGUUAGCUAGUUGGUGGGGUAAAGGCCUACCAAGGCGACGAUCCGUAACUGGUCUGAGAGGAUGAUCAGCCAAACUGGAACUGAGACACGGUCCAGACUCCUACGGGAGGCAGCAGUGGGGAAUAUUGGACAAUGGGCGAAAGCCUGAUCCAGCCAUGCCGCGUGUGUGAAGAAGGUCUUCGGAUUGUAAAGCACUUUAAGUUGGGAGGCGUUACCAACAGAAUAAGCACCGGCUAACUCCGUGCCAGCAGCCGCGGUAAUUC